rnacentral:rRNA from 1 species
CAUGCCAAUGGCAGUGCCGGGUAGCUAUGUUCGGAUGGGAUAAGUGCUGAAAGCAUCUAAGUACGAAGCCCACCUCAAGACAAGGUCUCCCACUGGGUUAACCAGGUAAGACCCCAGCGAGACUAGCUGGUUGAUAGGCCGCAAGUGUAAGACGGGCAACCGUUUCAGCUAAGCGGUACUAAUAGGUCGAGGGCUUGACCAUCUAUC